rnacentral:rRNA from 1 species
GAUGAACGCUGGCGGCGUGCUUAACACAUGCAAGUCGAGCGGAAAGGCUCCUGCUUGCAGGGGUACUCGAGUGGCGAACGGGUGAGUAACACGUGGGUGAUCUGCCCUGCACUUCGGGAUAAGCCUGGGAAACUGGGUCUAAUACCGGAUAGGACCACAUUUUGGAUGGUGUGGUGGAAAGUUUUUCGGUGUGGGAUGAGCUCGCGGCCUAUCAGCUUGUUGGUGGGGUAAUGGCCUACCAAGGCGUCGACGGGUAGCCGGCCUGAGAGGGUGUACGGCCACAUUGGGACUGAGAUACGGCCCAGACUCCUACGGGAGGCAGCAGUGGGGAAUAUUGCACAAUGGGCGCAAGCCUGAUGCAGCGACGCCGCGUGGGGGAUGACGGCCUUCGGGUUGUAAACUCCUUUCGCUAGGGACGAAGCGUUUUUGUGACGGUACCUGGAGAAGAAGCACCGGCUAACUACGUG